rnacentral:rRNA from 1 species
AGUCUAAGGUUUCCUGGGGAAGGUUCGUCCGCCCAGGGUAAGUCGGGACCUAAGGUGAGGCCGAAAGGCGUAGCCGAUGGACAGCAGGUAGAAAUUCCUGCACCACCGAUAUACUUAAAAAGCACAAGGGACACAGGAGUGGAAGAGAAGCGAGGAAGAGGAAAAACUCGUAUCGAAAGAUAUAGUGAAAAUAAAGUAACGAAUUCUCAAGAAGCACACUGGCGAGAAAAGCUUGUGAGUAUUGUAUAUAGGUGCCCGUACCGCAAACCGACACAGGUAGAUGAGGAGAAGAUCCUAAGAUGAGCGAGAGAAGCAUUGUUAAGGAACUCGGCAAACUGACCCCGUAACUUCGGAAUAAGGGGUGCUGGAGUAAAAUCCAGUCGCAGAGAAUAGUCCCAAGCAACUGUUUAACAAAAACACAGGUUUCUGCUAAAUCGAAAGAUGAAGUAUAGGAGCUGACGCCUGCCCAGUGCUGGAAGGUUAAGGGGAAAUGUUAGGAGCAAUCCGAAGCAUAGAACUGAAGCCCCAGUGAACGGCGGCCGUAACUAUAACGGUCCUAAGGUAGCGAAAUUCCUUGUCAGGUAAGUUCUGACCCGCACGAAAGGCGUAAUGAUUUGGACACUGUCUCGACAAUGUACUCGGCGAAAUUGUAGUACUAGUGAAGAUGCUAGUUACCUGCGACAAGACAGAAAGACCCCAUGGAGCUUUACUGUAGCUUGAUACUGGGUUUCGAUAAUUUAUGUACAGGAUAGGUGGGAGACUAUGAGUCAUAGGCGUCAGCUUAUGAGGAGUCACCCUUGGGAUACCACCCUUAAGUUAUUGAAAUUCUAACCAUUCGUCGUCAACCGGCGAGGGGACAAUGUCAGGUGGGCAGUUUGACUGGGGCGGUCGCCUCCAAAAGAGUAACGGAGGCGCGCAAAGGUUUCCUCAGCACGGACAGAAAUCGUGCGAAAGAGUGCAAAGGCAGAAGGAAGCUUAACUGAGAGACUGACAAGUCGACCAGAUACGAAAGUAGGUCUUAGUGAUCCGGCGGUAGUGAGUGGAAAUGCCGUCGCUCAACGGACAAAAGUUACCCUGGGGAUAACAGGCUUAUCUCCCCCAAGAGUUCACAUCGACGGGGAGGUUUGGCACCUCGAUGUCGGCUCAUCACAUCCUGGGGCUGGAGAAGGUCCCAAGGGUUGGGCUGUUCGCCCAUUAAAGUGGUACGCGAGCUGGGUUCAGAACGUCGUGAGACAGUUCGGUCCUUAUCUGUCGCA